UGGAAGUGAUGAAAUAGAGAUAAUUGGGUGUCUGUUUGAGUGGAGUGUGUGUGAUAAAUAGAAUUUAAACCAAAUUAAACUGGGGGUGGGGUGUGGGGAAUGUGUGUCUGUGCAUGUAUAGAAAAGGCUUAAAGCGGGGGCACUGAUAAUGCAGUGCUGAUUCCGGAGUGCAUCUGAGGCAUGUUGUUGAGUUCUGGGGUGCCACUUUACAACAUUGCCAAUGAUUAAAGCCCAAAACAAGCCCACCAAAAUAAGCCUAGGCAUCUUAAAUCUCUAACAGGUUCAUAAAUGAAAGUGAUCCUGUGAUCUGAUCCAA
rnacentral:snoRNA from 1 species